CAUGACUAAUGUAUUGCAGAAUAUAUUCUUUUGGAAAACUUGUUGGCGUAUAAAUUCAUUUCAGAAGUUUUACUCGCAGAUUCGUAAGUAAACCAAAAAAUAGACACUGCGCUUGCGUUGUAGUAGCUGUUGACGGUUUGUGGGAAGGUUCGGGAAAGCGGUAAAAGGCAGAGCGGAGAAAAGGGAAAACGUUGGCCAGUGUAAACUGAGUUGUGUUCUGUGUUAUCGUAAGUAAGAGUGGCCCCUGACUAUUGAAUUACUGGCAGCAACUGGUUGUGAGCAGUCAGUUGUUGUAUCUGCAAUCAAGGUAUUUUACCGUAAAUAUUAGACUGGGGGAGUUCUAGUUCUGAGGAGUUUGGGAUUAUAUGUCGAGUACCGUGGAGUGAGAUCAUUGAAACUUGUACCUAAACUCCCUUGGGUAAAUAAGGAGUGUUCCAGAAGGAGAGAGAAUAUGGCUUACUUUCAAGAAGUAGCAAUAAUUUCUGGAGCGUACCCUAAGCCUGUCGCGCUAGUUCUUCAGUAUGGAACAGCAGGAUUCCGUGCAAAGGCUGAUCAGCUGGAUCACGUGAUGUAUCGCAUGGGCUUGCUAGCAGUGUUAAGGUCCAAGAAAACCAAAUCUACUAUUGGUGUAAUGGUCACAGCCUCUCAUAAUCCAGAAGAAGACAAUGGAGUGAAAUUGGUUGAUCCUCUUGGAGAAAUGCUUGCACCUACUUGGGAAGCAUAUGCCACACAGUUAGCAAAUGCAGAAGAACAGGAUCUGAAAUCUGUCUUAAUCAAUAUUCUCGACAAUGAGUCUAUGAACCUGCAGGAGAUGGCUCGGGUUGUUCUUGGCAGAGAUACACGGCCCAGUAGCCAAAAACUUGCCCAGGUUGUUGUUGAUGGGGUGACUGCCUUAGGUGGAACUUACCAAGACUAUGGCCUUGUAAGCACCCCACAGCUGCAUUAUAUGGUCUGCUGUUGGAAUACCAUGGAGCAAUAUGGGACUGCUACAGUUGAAGGAUAUUACCGGAAACUUUCUCAGGCUUUUCUUGCCCUGACUAAGCAGACAACUUACCAUCUAGAGGAAUUGCGACAGCUGAACGUGGAUGGAGCAAAUGGUAUUGGUGCAUUAAAGCUUCAGGAAUUGGAGCCUUAUCUUCAGAAGAAGCUGCUGUUGAAGGUGCAUAAUGAUGGCGCAAGUGGCAAACUCAACUACCUGUGUGGAGCAGAUUUCGUAAAGGUUCAACAGAAGCCGCCUCAAGGCUUAGACAUGAAGGCAAAUGAACGCAGCUGCUCGUUUGAUGGUGAUGCAGACAGAAUUGUAUACUAUUACAUCAGUGAAUCCGGAUAUUUCCAUCUUCUUGAUGGAGAUAAAAUUGCUACUUUAAUUACUAUAUUUCUAAAGGAGCUUCUUGCCAAGGCAGAUUUGGACUUGCAGAUAGCAGUAGUGCAGACUGCCUAUGCAAAUGGCAGCUCAACGAGGUACAUUGAAGAGGUCAUGCAGGUUCCUGUGUACUGUGUGAAUACAGGAGUGAAAUAUUUGCACCAUAAAGCUCAGGAAUUUGAUGUUGGGGUUUAUUUUGAAGCAAAUGGACAUGGCACAGUUCUCUUCAGUAAAGCAGCUGAGAGUAAAAUCAGACAGCUGGCUCAGGACAAAAACCAAAUGGGAGAGAAAAGCAAUGCAGCUAAAAUGCUUGAAAAUACAAUUGAUCUAAUCAACCAGACAGUGGGGGAUGCCAUAUCAGACCUCCUGACAAUAGAAGCCAUCCUGUCUAUUAAGGGCUUCACUAUCCAGCAGUGGGAUUUCAUCUACACUGACCUUCCUAACAGGCAACUAAAAGUGAAGGUAUCUGAUCGACAAGUUAUUGUCACUGUGGAUGCUGGAAGGCGAACAGUGUCCCCUGCAGGGCUGCAGCAAAACAUUGAUGCUCUGGUGAAGCAGUACAAUUUGUCACGAGCCUUUGUACGUCCAUCAGGCACAGAAGAUGUGGUCAGAGUGUAUGCUGAAGCUGACACACAGUGUCAGGAGUCAAACUCACGAGUAAACCUUCAUUCCCUGCAAACCAAGGUGUGGUUUUCUCGCUCAAGGUUAAGUUACAUAGCAUCACCUGGCUGAGGAAAGAACUUUUGCUAUGAUUGGCUCACUGGAGUUCACGUGGUUCACUGGAGUUUACAUUAGUCUGCUUAAUCCAGGAUAGAAGGAUGAAACAAACUAUCCAAAUGAGAUGAUAAACCACAAAUCAGACUAAUGCAGAUACUCUGGCACAUGAAGUGAGCCUUGUUGUGUACAAAUUGGCUGGAGGAGUAGGAGAGGAACCAAAGUUGAUUCACUGAGGAAAAACAAAACAAAUGGCGAAUGUGUCCGUUUGCAAUCUUUGGGUCUUACUUUACAGUAAGACUACAUCCAGGACACUUUGGGGAUGUGGAUGGUGGGCUGUUGUCUGGAAUUUAUGUAAUUAUUUAAAGCUAAACAUGCAGAUCCUACUGUAAUCAAGUAGUAAUAAUGCUCACAUGAGAAUUGCCAAUUUUAAAAUUUGAUAUCAUUGUGACCUGGAUGUGAAUACAGCUAGGAAAAAACACUAUGCAAAAGCAGGAACUUCUGUUUACAAUAUUUAUAUAACUGCAUUCUGUGUCAUAGGCUUAUGACAUUACUCAAUCCAUAAAAUAUUGUGAAAUAUUAAGUUUGAAUGGUCUUGCAAAAUAGCAACGUAUAUUGAUCUGUGCUUGAGAUGCCUUUCUUUCAGUUAAAGAAAACAUUCCUGUCUGUUCUCCACAUUCUCACAGUAGCCAGCAGUGGCUCAGUUGGUACCACUCACACCUCUGAGUUAUUAGGGUGUGGUUUUAAGUCCCACUCCAGGACUUCAACAGAAAAGUCAAAAACUGACACUCCAGUGCAGGACUAGGGAGUGCUGCACAGUGCUGUCUUUCAGGUGAAAUGUUAAACCGAGACCUUCUGUCGCUAUGAAGGAUCCCAUGACACUACUUCAAAGAAGAGCAGGGGAGUUAUCCAGGGUUUCUGCAGAAUAUAGAAAACCUAGAAAUGACAUGGAAUUUUUCAGGAAAUUUCCAGAAAAGGCCCAAAAUCAGUGAAAAGCCAUGGAAUUUUAUAGUCAGGAAUAAAACUUUUCCGAUUUUGGGUGGAAUUCUAAUGUCCGCUCCCCGCACCCCAGCCCCCCCACCCCCCGACCACCUUCACAUGUCCGAAAUCCAGUAUGGAUUUUGUUCUACUCCUGCCUGAUCUUGCUCAUUGCCACGGCUUCUUUGCAGACUGCCAGAACAAGAGUCGUCACUGGCUGUGUAGCCUGUCAUUCAGAGUUAGUCUAUGUGCCAGAUUGGCAGCUUUGAAUUCUGCCAGAAUAGCAGCAGUAAUUGGCCUAGUAGCAUGUUCCAGGUUCUCCAGGCCCUCCUUUCUCAUGGGGGAAGAGGUAUGUUUGUUGGUGUCAGUUGCAGUUUUUUGUUGCUGAAGCAGAGGACUCGGCGGCUGCUCUCUUCAGAGCCAGAGCACAAUAACUAAGAGAAGGCAGAGCUGAAACAAGCAUCUAAUGGAGGAGAUGAUGUCUAAAAUGAUGCUGCAUGAUGGUCUGAUUUUUGCAUGAGACCCACUGAACUAUUUUUUCUUAACAUGCAAAAGUCAUGGAAUUUUAUUUUGCUAAAGGUGCAAGAGCCUGAUGAUCCUGUGUCCUGGCUAAUAUUAAACCUUCAAUCACUAUCACAAAAAAAAUCUGACCAUUAUCACAGCACUGUUUGUGGGAGCUUGCUGUGUGCAAAUUGGCUAAAUUACAACAAGACUUCAAAAGUACUUGUGGCUGUAAAAUUCUUUGGCAGCCCUCUGCUUGUGAAAGGUGGUAUGUAAAUGAAAGUCUCUCUCUUACUUUUGGAGGUGUGCUAUGAUGGCCAGUGACAGUCAUACUUUCCAUUACGUGCAUAAUUAGAUGAGAAGUGCUAGUCGAUUUAUUUUGUCAGUUGAUGCAGAUCAUUUUAUAUGUUGGCAACAUGUCAGAAGGAGACGGGAGAGAAAUGGACACAACAGAAAAAUUCGAACAUACUACAAUGUGUAAAAUGAAUCCUGUAAAGUGUUUCUGCUGUAUUUAUAUUUCCUAGCUACUGAAUAAAUGGGACCUUGAGAUGUUUGUUACCAGUUGAACAGGGUCAAGGAUCAGGAGGAAAAAUUGAGAAUGAAUACUGUCCUGUUUACCUCCCCUUCUAUCACCAUUGCCCAACAAGUUCAAUUUUUUCAGCUUCCCACAGGAACAACAUGCCUAUUUUUGACAUUUGUACAGAAUUGUCAAAACUAAAAUAAAAGGUGCACAAAAUUAA